GUAGGUGGCAAGCGUUAUCCGGAAUUAUUGGGCGUAAAGCGCGCGCAGGCGGUUUCUUAAGUCUGAUGUGAAAGCCCACGGCUCAACCGUGGAGGGUCAUUGGAAACUGGGGAACUUGAGUGCAGAAGAGAAAAGCGGAAUUCCACGUGUAGCGGUGAAAUGCGUAGAGAUGUGGAGGAACACCAGUGGCGAAGGCGGCUUUUUGGUCUGUAACUGACGCUGAGGCGCGAAAGCGUGGGGAGCAAACAGGGAUUAGAUACCCUGGUAGUCCACGCCGUAAACGAUGAGCGCUAAGUGUUAGAGGGUUUCCGCCCCUUUAGUGCUGCAGCUAACGCAUUAAGCACUCCGCCUGGGAUACGGUCGCAAGACUG
rnacentral:rRNA from 1 species